rnacentral:rRNA from 1 species
CAGUAGCCGCGGGAAUACGUAGGUGGCAAGCGUUGUCCGGAAUUAUUGGGCGUAAAGGGCUCGCAGGCGGUUUCUUAAGUCUGAUGUGAAAGCCCCCGGCUCAACCGGGGAGGGUCAUUGGAAACUGGGAAACUUGAGUGCAGAAGAGGAGAGUGGAAUUCCACGUGUAGCGGUGAAAUGCGUAGAGAUGUGGAGGAACGCCAGUGGCGAAGGCGACUCUCUGGUCUGUAACUGACGCUGAGGAGCGAAAGCGUGGGGAGCGAACAGGAUUAGAUACCCGCGUAGUCCCUGUCUCUUAUAC